GGGACCUUUUCCAGGACUUCAAACCAACUUCUACUUAAUAUCAAUGGCCAGGAUUUAGAUAAACCUAACUGCAAAAAAGUCUGAGAAAUAGCUUUUAGUGCACAUCAUUGGUGCCACAAGUAAAGUCAGAGUUCCUAAUAAUGAGAAGGAAGGUCUAUCGUUAAGUUACAGUUGGUGGUCUGUGUUAUAUGAUUAUAAGUAGAAUUUCCCAUUUUAUUUAUGUCAGAUUAAAGAUCCAGCAACUCCUAGUGGAAGCAUAAAAGAAAGGAACAAAUGUGAGUUUUUAAACAGACAAGGUUUUAGUUCUUUCCUGCCAUAUUAGCCUUAGAAUUCUGGACAGAUUUUUCUCACUUUCCUAGGGCAGCUUCCUCCUGAUCUGUAAAGUAGAAGUGAUGAUGUAGACUUCACAGAGUUGGCCUUGUACUUCAUUGAGAUGAUGGCUUUGAGUGCUUCAUGUAGUGACCCAUACAUAACAGGCACUCAUUCAGGCACUCUGUGCAGUAGAGGUGAAAAAUAGUCUCAAGGCCUCUUUCUGCCUUCCGCUUACAAUCCUACCAAAGCAUGACUCUGAAUGGCAGACAUCAGCAGGAGAAGUAACCGCCUCAGGGAUGUAGAUGGGCUUCUGAAGUAAACAGGGAUAUGAUUUGGUCUCUUGGUUUUAAUUUUGGUAAAGGCAGUAGGAAACUGAGACCAGAUAAGAUUAUAUAGCCCAGUGUCCGCCCCCAUAACAUGAAGGGAAAUUUUGUGGAAAGGCAAGAUUAUCCUUCCCUUUAUGUUUCAUUAUAGAUCAUGUGAUUCUUACAUUUAACCUGUUUCUUGUCCGCAUUUGUAUUUUCAUUUUAUGCCCCUUUAACCUACGUUUCCUUCUUUUACCGCCACUAAAUAAGACAUUUUUUUAUAUUUCAGUUUCUAAACCUUAUGUUGCUGGAUUUUAAUUUUAAACAAGAUGAAUGCAUUUGUUUAUCCCUUCUUUAUUUUUUUUUAUUUUUUUUAAGAGAGAGAUUUUUUUAAUAUUUAUUUUUUAGUUUUUGGUGGACACAACAUGUUUGUUUUUAUGUGGUACUGAGGAUCGAACCCAGUGCCCCGUGCAUGCUUUUUCAUUUUCCAUGAACUUUGACUUUUCUUUUUAAUCCAUUUCAGUUCUUGUAAAUAGGAAAAAAGCCAAACCCCAUGUUAAACAUGAUGGGGGGGCGGGGAUCAUCCUUUCACCCCAGGGUGAGGCACAGAUAAGAAUGUUGGACACCAUGAUGUUCUGUUUCCAAAGGCUGUGCUUGGUCGUGGCUGUGCCAAAAGCAAAACCGGGAGAAAGGACGUAGGCUUCUGGCUCAGGGUUGUCCAUUUUCUGCCUGGUUUCACAGAGAAGCACAGCAGUGAGGUCAUUGUGGCUUAGUGCUAUUCCCAUUUAAUGCUAGGAUCCCAUCAGUUGUCGUAGAGGAGGUUUGGAUGCUUUGUUUGACACCCUGUCUUCUCUCAUAGUUUGGCCUGUCACUGCUCCUUGUUCUCCUGAGCCGUGGGGAAGACUUACAGAGUUCAGACCCUGCUACAGAAUCAACGCAAAAUAACCAAUGGUCAGUACGGACUAUUUCUCUAUUUUAAGUUUUUUGAGGUGAUCUUUCUUUUUUUCCCUCAUCUUGUUGUUUGGUUUUCCCUAUCAGGACGGAGGUGAUGUUCAUGGCAACCCGAGAACUUCUGCGGAUUCCCCAAGCAGCCCUGGCCAAACCAAUCUCUAUACCCACAAACCUAGUGUCCCUUUUUUCUCGCUAUGUCGACCGGCAGAAAUUGAACUUGCUGGAGACAAAACUGCAGUAAGUUUUAAAAAGGAUAGUUGCACAUGUCAACAAAGUUGGCAUUUUAGAAGUUAUGAUAGAGGGGAGGAUAAAACUGAAUUUGGUGGAAAAGAGUAAAGACUUUAAAUAAAUAUUCGCGUAUCUACUGAUAUAAAAUGCUAUACUGGGUGCAACAGUACCCUCAUUGAAGUUGACUAAGAGUAAAACAAUGUCUUGGGUGUUUUGUUAUUGAGAAUCUUUACAAGGUUGAAAUUUUAAUACAAAAGUUUACUUUCUAUUUAAACUUAUUUAUAUAAACAAGUUUUCUUUCUCUUUUUUUAUACCCUUAGGCUAGUUCAGGGGAUACGAUAAAAGAUCUCCAAAUGUGUCCUGUACCUCCUUUGGGCUGCCACCUGCACUGCUGCCAUCACCAAUGGAGUGUUUUUAAUGAGGGAGGGAAGGUAGCUUAUUCCCCAAAGCAAAGUCUUGUGGGAUUGAUUCCUGUUUACAGGGGUUGUCUCUAAAUGCCAGGUAUUUUCCCCAUUGCUCUGUGAAAUUUGGCUGGGUGAUACUUAUGCUGGUUUCUUCUUUACUUUCUGUGUUACAAUUCUGCAUGUCCUACUUUUACUCAAUUCUUCUCAAUUUUGCAUUUUCUUUGCCCUAGCGACAAAAAAUUAUAUCUCCCUUGAUCCCACUACCACUACUCCAGUUCAAAGUAGAUUGUAGCCUGCCAAAAGAUUCUUCCCCUCAUCCUAUUGAAGUCUUUUUUCAUUAUCCCAUAUUAAUGUGACUGUAGGAGAGCCAACUAAAUAGAAAUCAAGUUCUAGAAACACACAUACCCCAUACAUACAUUUAUAUGAUCUCCAGAGGGUCCUUAAAGAAUGAAUUUUAGAUUGAAAAAUAUUUAGUUGACACAUACCAUCUCUAAACAAACCAACUGAUAUAUUUUUAAUCUGUUUCUAUUUCGUCUUGUAAUUAAUUUGGUGGAAAUACUUAUUUGUUUUAAUAUAAAUACAGGGUAUAUGGCACAUUUAAUAAGAUCAUAUUUCUUAAUUGGCUGGUGCCCAGCUCUAGGUUGAGAAGUGAUUUUCCUCUUCCCCACCUGUAUUUUCUUUGUUUUGUCCACCCUAAUGGAAACAGCACACGGUUAAGCCUUUUUCCAGCUACAACCACAGUGUGCUUGAGCCUGUCCCCUCAAGUGCAUUCAGGAGCACCCAAGGUGAUCCUCACUUACAGCCUGCUUGAGCAGUGUAGCUUUUUGCACACUCUGUCUUCCUGAGGUGACUUCAGUAAGCCAUGCUUGUCCAUCUCUUUUCCUCAUUUUCAUCUGGUGUCAUGGGUAGAAACCUUCAAAUGUAACCACAGAAGCUAAGCUUGGCCUGCUCUGCUCUUCACUAUCCUCCAACAUGGGCAGAACUGCCGCCCUGGCUCGUCCAUCUCACCUGAGCCUCGUUCCCAGACAGCCAGGGACCUGGGUUUAAAUCUUAGCAGGUACAGCCUGCCAUGAUCUUUUGUCACUUACCCUUCCUUUCAGCAAUCAACCAGGAUAAGGGUUUUGGUCCCUAGAGAUUUCAGUUCUGAAGAAGAUUAAAUCUGAAUCAAUUUUACAUGCCCUUCCAGUCUACUUUAUGCCAUUCUCACCUUUUCGAAUGUAGUGGGGGACUGGCUGUGACAUUUAAAGAGAAUAAACGUUUUGCACAUACAUGUAUUGUACAACAGUAAAAUCCUGUUAUAACCAGCUGUCCUUGUUCUUCAUCUCCGUUUCUUCCCAUUCUGUAACCCAGGCUUCACCAGCUGUUCCCCAGUGACAUUACCUAGCUUCCCUCCACCAUCACCUACUGACUAUUUCCACUAUGCGCCUUUCCUACCUUCCCUUCACAACUGAUCAAGUGAAUACUUGAUUAUUAUUUCUUCCUUACUGUGCUUUAUUUUUGUUUGGUUCUAAUUAAUGAAAAUAAAAGUUUCUAAAUUUACAUUUUUAUAGGGUAUUGUAAAUAAAAACAAAUUGUAUACUUCAAAAAACU
rnacentral:lncRNA from 1 species